AUGGCUGUUAUUAGAAAAAACGUUUCUUAGUUAAGGACAAAAAAAGACGUCUCCUAAAGACACGUGUCUCUCAUUGAAGGGAGUUUAGCUUUUUUCUCUUCACAUCUUUCUCUCUCGACGGAAGACGAUCUGGAUUCACGGUGGGAAGAAGCGACCGGAGAAGCUGUUGACGAAGUCAUCUUCCUCAGCCGUCACACCACCGUCUCGAACCGUACUGCUCUGCCUGUUCACCCCAUCAGUGGGGUUUGUGACUUUUUUCCUCAGUUCGAUUCUAGACAACCUGAGCUCUACCAUUGUCAUGGUUUCUUUACUCAGGAAACUGGUUCCUCAAUCAGAGUACCGCAAACUUCUAGGAGCUGUUGUGGUGAUGGCAGCAAAUGCAGGAGGAGCAUGGACUCCAAUUGGUGAUGUUACGACAACUAUGCUAUGGAUUCAUGGUCUUGGAGUUCUCUGGGUCUUGACAGACGCCAUCCACUACGGUGAAUCAGAAAGACAAAAGCUCAAAAUACCUCAAGCCUUAUCCUUCACUAGUAUAGAAUGAAUUAUCCAGUAAGAUUUAUGCAUUUCGAGUUUUUAUGUGUUGUCUGGAAAGUGUAAGACUAGUUUGAGGGAACCAAACUCUUCAAUUGCAGAAAUGUCUCUGAUCUUUUUCAAAGUUUCUUUGCUAGGUUGUUUCAUCUAAGCCCUGUCAACAGGUAUUGCAUGUAUUGAAGAGUACCGUGUUCCUCUUCAUCCUCUUCUUUUUCCUCUAGUCCUUCUUCCUCCUUGUCCAUGGCUUCCAUUGUCUUUGAGCUUUUGCCAUCUAAACCUCUCUGCAUUUUAGAUCAAGGAAAAUAUUUACUAAGAGACAACAUAAA